GAAGCUUUUAGAAGUAUAUUAGUUCCAGUGGAGUUCUUGAUGCUCUUACAAAAGUUCUGGUGGCAUUGUAUGAGCAAAAUGACAAGCCUUCUUCUGCCCUCGAGUUUAUUCAACAAAAAUUAGGAGGUCCUAGUGUAUCUGAUUAUGAAAAGCUACAAGCUGAAUUGUCAGAUUUGCAGAUGAAAUAUAAUGAUC